UAAGAUACUCCAGAUUCUCUA
rnacentral:miRNA from 1 species